AGAGAGAGAGAGAGAGAGAGACUGAAAAUGCGCUCAGAGCAGACAGCUGUCGGCUAUCAGAGCAGAGAAUACAUCAGCAGUUUGCUUGUUAAGUGGUAGUAAAUGUACAGUGUAAGAUUCCAUUUGUCUCCAGAAAGAAAGUUCCCGUGUCUUGCUUCUCAACAUCGCACAAAAAAAAGAAGAGGGGAGAGCAGCAGUCAGUUGAAAAAACUCCCGACAGAGAGAGCGGAUACGAGAGGACGGGGGAGCCUGUCUACAAAUCACUGAAUUAUAAAUAUCU